UAAUGCCAUCCUGCCUCCUCACGGGCCCCGGGGAUGAGUCGCCCAGGGACUGAACUCCAGUAAAGCAGGUUAAUUAUCUGAGAAGAGUAUUGUGCCAGCACACUUGAUACUACAGUAUUUCAUGUUUGACAGGUUGAUGGGCGCUACGGGAUAAGGAAAAGGAUGUGAAGCUCACUGAAGAGGCUUGGGUUGGGAGUGCUGGAGGAGUGUACAGAGACUCAGCACCUUUCUGUACAGAAAUGGAGACAGGAAGAGGCCAGAGGAUGAAUGACAGGCACGAAUGAGGUGGAACUUUGAAGAGCAACAUGGAAAUGAAAUACUUCUUUUGUAUUUGGUAGGUGGGGAAAAUGUACCAGCGUGUAUGCCUACUGGGACCACGUUUUCCAGAACAGUUAAGCCCAGUGUCAACUAUGCUGUCCCACCUUCCUCUCUUAGUGAGAAGAGAGCAGGCUGAAUGGAAGAAAGUCAUUAUGACCACUGGGGCCACUAGGGGGUGUCCAGAGAAGGUAACUACUUUGCCCACGUCCUAAACUGGAAAGAAUGUUGCCCAAGUCAUUAUAUCCCGCCAUGAUUCACAGUCGUAUGACCUUAGGUGGCAGCUCAGCAGGAGCUUACCGGUGCCUUAAAUCAUCCCUGUUGUGGACAUACAAGAGCGUGACCUCCGACUUCCCAAGCUGUCUCUUCAUGAAAUGAAAAUGGAACUGCAAGUUUAGGGGAAAGUUUUGAAAGUGUCUGGCUCUUGUAGUCAUCUAAUGAGGUCCUCAUUUCUAGCUGCUAAGCAUGCCCUUUAAUUGGUGGUCACUCGAAAAUCAAUGAUAAUAUAACUGUCCAACUCUUUGGAGCUAUUUUUCUCUCUGCUUUCUAUCCUGCAAGUGCACGAUAAAAGAAACCACCCAUUCAGCCAUUAUCUUGUGUCACUUACUAUUCAGAGAUCAGUCUUCCUUUAUGUGCUCUUUCAGGAAAGACCUGGGUUGUAUUUUUCACUUGCCUUUCAGGCAGAGAGUAGAGUCCUUGGCACAGAUUAAGUCCUCAAAAAUGUUAGAUGGGUGGAUGGGUGGGCAGUGGAUUGCAGCACAUGAGCAACUACAGUAGCGUUGUGAUACAUGACAAGGAAAUGACCUCAGUUGGGGAAAUAAAUGCCUAGCACAUAUGCCACCACUUUCCCCUUCCAUCUUCAUUACAGUCCUUACUAAUCUAUUAUGACAUUUUUUCCCAUUGGGUCUAGACGUGACCUCAGGAUCCUUGUAGAAUAUAAACAGUCCUGUGCAAUGUAAACCUUGUAUAAUGUAAACAAUGCUUUACUGUUUGAUUUGAGUUGGGACACGAGAAGAAUCCUAUUUUCCGUCCAUAACAUAGACGUUGGGAAUAAUAGCUAAUGCUUAUGUAAACAUAUAGAUUCAUAGGAUAGAAAAAAUAAUUUUUAAGAAAUGACCUAGUACAGACUCAGGGGGAAAAUAUAUGUUACCUUGAUUAUAGAAAUUUGGUUCAGCCACUCAGCUUCAACCUUCAAAAAUCAUGUCGCUUUUUAUUUUAAACCAACAUAUGAAUCCAAGGUAUAGCAAAAUAAACCAUAAACCUUGCAGAACAGGGCCCUUCUAGAUACGAUCUCGUUAGGACCUGAUCCUCCAUGGUUGUAUCUACACAGAGGGGUAAUGCCAGGUCCCCUACUGGGAAGUUGAAUUGGAGGAAGAGAUAGACAUAGAGGUACUAUGGAUAAUUCUAGACUGACAUGGUCAUCAAGAAGUCCUAUGAAAAAUAAUUUCUGGUGAGUAUAGAGUAAAUCAGCAAUGAGAAAUGGAGAGGAUUGGAAUUAAGUAGACUCAUCACUAGUCCAUGGUUAUUACCGGUGUACCAGUUUAGCAAUGAAUUACUCAAGGUAAUUGAUGCUAGGUAGUCUAACAAACACUCCUGAAAGCCAAGUGUCUUAACUUAAUAAAUGUUUAUUUCUCUUGUCAGAAACCAGUGUGAAUUAGGUGGUUCAUUCUUAGCAGAUUGCUUUCAAGUAGUGAAUCAGGAACCCAUGCCCCCUCCACCUUGAGGUGUUGUCUUAAAUGCAUGACUACCUAAACUACAGCAGAAGGGAACAUGGGCAAUCAUGCAUAAUAUCUCCUGGCCAGGCCUGAAAGUGGUAGGCCCAUACCCUUUCAAC